GACGAACGCUGGCGGCGUGCCUAAUACAUGCAAGUCGAACGCAGUGGGGACGGGUGAGUAACACGUGGGUAACCUCCCAUCAGAGGGGAUAACACUUGGAAAAAGGUGCUAAACCGAUACUGAUGGAUGGACCCGCGGUGCCUUAGCUAGUUGGUGAGGUAACGGUGCACCAAGGCCACGAUGCAUAGCCGGCCUGAGAGGGUGGUCGGCCAAACUGGGACUGAGAAAAGGCCCAGAAUCCUGCGGGAGGCAGCAGGAGGGAAUCUUCGGAAAUGGGGGGAACGCUGACGGAGGAAAGGCGCGGGAGAGAAGGAGGGUUUUGGGUCGUAAAGCUCUGUUGUUAAGGAAGCGGUACUGAACCAGAAAGGAACGGCUAACUACGUGCCAGCCGCCGCGGUAAUAC
rnacentral:rRNA from 1 species